rnacentral:snRNA from 1 species
AUCGCUUCUCGGCCUUUUGGCUAAGAUCAAGUGUAGUGUUCAAUGUCCCCACUUACAUCUGCUCUCAAAAGCAUAACAGAGAAGAGCCAACUAGCUACAACACCUUCUGCUGCUUGGCCCACCCACU